UGUUCAUCUAAGCUAUAGUUUCUUCAAAACCUACCUCAUCUGUGAAGAUUUCCUAGUGCCAUUCCAAAGAGAGAUGAAUCCUGGGUGAUACUAGAUGCCAUGUGUUGAAGAUAUCAAGGCUCCUGUCAACCUGGUGCCUGAAAAGGCUAUUGUGCCAACCCCUUCACUUCACUACUGUCAUGAACCCAGUGACCCACCAGAGGACUGGACAGUUUAAGGCCAGCUCCAGAAACAAAUGGAAGACAGUUCAAGUACUUAACAUAAAAACCUUUUUAAAUUUAUUUUUCUUUC